GGAGGGUCCGGAACAGACAGCGAGAGGGGCGGGGGGCGCGGCAAGCACGCGGCUGGUUUGGGGCGGGUCCGCACUGGGAGUUUUGGGGAUGGGAGCGGCUGGGAGGGAAGUUUGGGAUUGGUGUGGUCCCUAAAAUGGGGAUUGGAGGGUUUGGGGUUAAUUUUUUAGAUAAAUUUUGGAUUUGCUCUGCUCCCCAAAAUGAGGAUUAGGAGGUUUUUGGGGGUCAGGAGUGGCUGGGAGUGAAGUUUGGGGUUGGUUUGGUCCCCUAAAACGAGGAUUGGGAGGGUUUGGUUUUCUCCAAAAUCAGGAUUAGGGUUUUUUUAGAAAGGUUUUAGAUUUGCUCUGCUCCCCAAAAUGAUGAUUAGGAGGUUUGGGUUUUUUCUCUGCUUCCCAAAAUGAUGGUUAGAAGGUUUUGGGGAGUGGGAGCAGCUGGGAGGGAAGUUUGGGGGUGGUUUGGUCCCUAAAAUGGGGAUCUGGAGGGUUUGGGUUAAUUUUUUAGAUAAGUUUUGGAUUUGCUCUGCUCCCUAAAAUGAGGAUUAGGAGGUUUUGGGGAGUGGGAGCAGCUGGGGAGUGAAGUUUGGGGUUGGGUUUGGUCCAUAAAAUGGGGAUCGGGAGGUUUUGGGUUAAUUUUUUAGAUAAGUUUAGGAUUUGCUCUGCUCCUCAAAAUGAGGGUUAAGAGGUUUGGGUUAAUUUUUUAGAUGAGUUUUGGAUUUGCUCUGCUCUUCAAAAUGAUGGUUAGGAGGUUUUUGGGGGUCGGGAGCGGCUGGGAGUGAAGUUUGGGGUUGGUUUGGUCCCUAAAAUGGGGAUUGGAGGGUUUUGGGUUAAUUUUUUAGAUAAAUUUUGGAUUUGCUCUGCUCCCCAAAAUGAGGAUUGGGAGGUUUUUGGGGGGUGGGAGCGGCUGGGAGGGAAGUUUGGGGUUGGUGUGGUCCCUAAAAUGGGAAUUAGGAGGGUUUGGUUUUCCCCAAAGUCAGGAUUAGGUUUUUUAUUAGAAAGGUUUUAGAUUUGCUCUGCUCCCCAAAAUGAGGAUUAGGAGGUUUUUGUUUAAUUUUUUAGGUAAGUUUUAGAUUUGCUCUGCUCCCUAAAAUGGGGACUGGGAGGGUUUGGGUUUCUUUCUGUUCCCCAAACUGAGGAUUAGGAAAUUUGGGGUUUUUUUGGUGAGGUUUUGUAUUUGUUUUGCUCCCCAGAAUGAGGAUUAGGAGGUUUUGGUUUUUCCUCUGUUCCCCAAAAUGAGGGUUAGGAGGUUUUGUUUUUUUCUCUCCUCCCUAAAAUGAGGACUAGGAGUUUUUUUGUUUUAAGUUUUAGAGAGGUUUAGGAUUUGCUUUGCUCCCUCAAAUGCGGAUUGGGAGAUUUUGGUUUUCCCUCUGAUCCCCAAAAUGAGGAUUGGGAGGUUUUGGUUUAAUUUUUUAGGUAAGUUUUGGAUUUGCUCUGCUCCCUAUAAUGGGGAUUGGGAGGUUUUGGUUUUUUCUCUGUUCCCUGAAAUGAGGAAUAGGAGGUUUAGGAUUUGCUCUGCUCCCCAAAUUGAUGAUUAGGAGUUUUUUUUCCUUUCUUACAGAGCUUUAGGAUUUGCUCUGCUCCUCAAAAUAAGGGUGAGGAGUUUUUGGGUUUUUUUUAGAGAGGUUUGGGAUUUGCUCUCCUCCUGAAAAUGAGGAUUAGGAGGUUUUUUUUUUCUUUUUUAGAGAGGUUUAGGAUUUGCUCUGCUCCCUAAGAGCUUUUCAUGGAACCAUGGAAUGGUUUGGGUUGGGAAAUUAAAACCAUCCAGUUCCAACCCUUGCCAUGGGCAGGGUUCCACUAUCCCAGGUUCAACCUCUCCAUCCUGGGAUAUUUCCAGGAAUGAAGCAGCCAAAGCUUUUCUGGGAAUUCCAUCCCACCACCCUUACAGGGAAGAAUUUCCUCCCAGUAUCCCAAACCUCCCCCUCUUUUAAUAGAACAGGAGGAACUUGAUAAACCAGACACGUGCUUGCUGUCCCCAGGGAGUGAAAUCUCAGGAAAAUUUCAAAGCUGAAAAACACGACACUAAAAAAAAAACAACAAACAAUUAAAAAGAAAAUAAAAGUUAAAUAAAUAAAAAAAAAAAAGGCAAAACCCAGAGGGACAGAACAAAGACACCACCACAAGGCUCUGAACUCUGACACAAACCACACACUGCAACACCAGGAGAGGGAACAGCUAGUCCUUGGAUCACAAAGGCAAAAAAAAUUCUUGCAUGACCAGGAGACACACGGGCAGGCUUGGGAGGGAUGAAUCCACUGAGGAAUUUCAUGUCCCUGUUCCAUCCCAGCACGUCACCCUGGCCCUGGUGACACAGAGCAAAUGUGAAACUCCUUUGUGCUACAGAGAAUUUAAGGAAGAGGAGGCUGUGCCAAAUCUGUUACAAGGGCUUGGCUGGCUCACAAACAACUUCCCUUGGGAAGCUCUGCAGAGCUCAGGAUCGAGGAGAAAUCCUCGUGGAUCUGUCAUUCCUACACUCCACAGGCAGAGAAUUGCCUCUCCUAGCUGUGGGCAAGUCAGGGAUUUCACCAGCACCACAAAAAUCCUGCUUUUUAAAGGGUUUUUUAAAGGGUUUUGAUGGUGCUGACACAUUGCAGGACCUCAACCCCAAGGUCUUGAGGCAGCAGAGCAGGAACCGCUCUGGCAACUCCAAAUAAAGAUGUUCCACAAAGGAAUAAACUGUUCAAGCAGCAACAGCCUUGAACCAACCCCCUGGGUAUUUUUUCCUCCCCCACUUCUGGUGAUGCAAGAGUAAAAAGCUUCUGUUAAGGGCUGGUAAAGCUCUUUAGGAUGAG